UACAGAGGGUGCAAGCGUUAAUCGGAAUCACUGGGCGUAAAGCGUGCGUAGGUGGUCAUGCAAGUCGGGUGUGAAAUCCCCGGGCUUAACCUGGGAACUGCAUUCGAUACUACAUGGCUAGAGUAUGGUAGAGGGAAGUGGAAUUUCCGGUGUAGCGGUGAAAUGCGUAGAUAUCGGAAGGAACACCAAUGGCGAAGGCAGCUUCCUGGACCAAUACUGACGCUGAGGCACGAAAGCGUGGGGAGCAAACAGG
rnacentral:rRNA from 1 species